GCUUAACCACUUUUUGAUAAACGAAAAAAAAAUAACAAAAAAAACAGAAAAUCAUUAAAUCAUGGAUAACCGUAAGUAUUUUUCGAGAAAGCCUCAGUUCACUAAAGAAAAUAUAAUUCCCAACAUUAAGAGUUAUUCAGCUUAUAAUCACCAAUAAAAAAGGGAUAAACUACAAGGAAUUUUCUUCUCGUGAAUAAUUAAUUCAUAAGCAAAUUGUAAAUCAACGUCUUCAGAACAAAGCAAAAAUUUUAAAAGCUAAAAAUGUUUGUCAAAAUAUUCCUAUCACAGACAAAUCCAAGUUCAAUUCAAAAAUAAUGAAAAAGUCGUUGAGAUUUCAGGAUUAUAAGUAUGUGUGAAGGGAAAGGUAAAGAACAGUCCAUGGGCGUAUGACGCAGAUAUAUAGAUUAUGUUUGAAGGUAUGUUUUCGAUAUAGCAUUUAAUAUUUGUCAAUUUACAAACUAUACAAUAUUGAGAAAAGAAUUUUUAAUUUAGUUAUAUACCCUAAUAGCCUUAAACGUAUUCUGUCUAUAACUACAGUCAAAAAAUAAAAACACCGGAGUUUCGAUAUAUAUAUUAUAAUUUCCUUUAAGCGUUUAUAAAUUCAACAAAACAAACGAAUAGGUAGCAAAAAAAAGAUUGUAUUUAGCAUUUGGACGCCUCACAUUAAGCAGAUGUUUGAAUUUCUUUUUACGCAAGUACCUCUUGAAUGUUUCUACUGAAGCUCGAAUAACUAUUUAUUUAAAGGUAGUUAAGGAAAACCAUCACAAAAGAUGCAUUUUUUCCAUUGUCAAGUUUGAAAACCACGUAUGAUGAGAAGAAAUGAAUCGAGAUUAAUUAUUUGCAACAGCUGUGUUUUAUUUGACAUUAUCACCGCUGUAACAAGGAGAUGAAGUAAAAGUAAUAUGCUAAAAAGCCAAAUUGAUAUAUAUGCUCGAGAGUUUUAUGUUGAUAAAAAGCAACUUUAUCAUUCCUUUGAAAGAAGGAUACGUACAUACAUAGUAACAAUCUAAAAAAGGAAAAAUUCUAGGAACUUAAAAACCUUGGUCUUGUAACCAUUCACGAACUGUGACUAUGUGAUUUCCCUUUAGGACAACUUGAUUUGUUAACUUGUUUACAUAAACAUCUUUCGGUGACAUUUUAAGUGUGGAAAUGAGCCUGAGCCGCAAAGCCUAUUGAUAAAAUAUUGUUAGAAAAAAAAAAGAGAACGAAUAAAAGAAGUUAAAAUAAACUUGGGUUGGCCGUUAAAGCAAAAAGUUGAUAGAACAAUUUCCGCAGCAUAGUGACUUUACUUGUACUUUCUUUAGCCAAGAGAUUACUGCUGACGGAAUAUGUAUACUUACAUUAGAAUCACCAUGGAUUUUACGAAUUAAAGUCAGAAUUUUCGUUCCUCGUUGUUUGUAGUCUAGAUAGACUGGGAGAUUUUUUGAAGGUGUACGUGAAACAUGAAACCGAAGUGAUUCGGAUGCAAUUGUUGAGUUGAACCUCAAAUUUGAUAGCACUGGCUUUAAGGAUGAUCGCAUUUGGUUCAACAAAACUUUCUACGAGUUGCAGGAAUUUAUGGUGGAUGUGUAAAAGAAGUCGUCGUGCAUUCGCGAAUAAAGAGGAUUUCUAUCAUAACCUCCAAAAAUUUGUAAGUUUUAAACAACUGUCAAACAGGAGCCUAAGAUUAAGUGAUUCACUAAGAACAAUUAAAAUAAAAUAAAACGCUCUUGUUUUAAAUAAAUUUAAUCGGUGCUUGAACCUCACGCGUGUUUAAACUCGAAAGUAUUUUUACGGCACGGAAUAUACUUCAGCGAAGGUGCA